CUAGCAUUUCUCUACACGUUUCUGGAGAUAGACGGGCAAAAUGCAGAUUUUCGUCAAAACCUUAACUGGUAAGACCAUCACCUUAGAGGUCGAGCCUUCUGACACCAUCGAAAAUGUCAAAGCUAAAAUCCAAGACAAAGAGGGUAUCCCCCCAGAUCAACAGCGUUUGAUCUUCGCCGGAAAACAAUUGGAAGAUGGGCGCACCUUGUCCGACUACAACAUCCAAAAGGAGUCAACCCUCCAUUUGGUUCUGCGUCUUCGUGGUGGUAUCAUUGAACCUUCCUUGCGUAUCUUGGCACAAAAAUACAAUUGCGAUAAGGUAAUUUGCCGCAAGUGCUACGCUCGCCUGCACCCACGUGCAACAAACUGUCGCAAGAAGAAGUGCGGACACACCAACAACUUGCGCCCCAAGAAGAAGUUGAAGUAGACCACUGGAAUAUGGAAAGUUUCGACGUUUGCGGAGAGUGUUGGGGGAGAAAUGCAUACUAACAAACGCAUUCUCCUUUUAGUUUUUCUAUGUGUACAUCAGCUAUGUAUGAAUUGAAGUGAAAAUUUUACUUUGAAAUUUGCAAAAUAAAACAAAAACCAUAAUUUUUUUGUUUUUAUUCCGAUAGUUGGAGAAAACAUUUAUACAUAUUUGUUUAAGAAAAUCAUUAUAGUAUUAGCUAUGUGGAGAACACAUCUCAGCUCUAGAAAAAAAAUCAAUUUUGUUCAAUUGUGACAAGCUUUGACUAAGCCGCGUGUUGUAGGUCCGGUUGUUGUUUCCAACCAGUACUAAUGUUUCCCCAAAUAGUGGUCUGCUAAAAUAUUGACUCGUGCCAAACAAAACUAGUUCUGGGUGGCUAUUCCCAGAUAAUGUUCAAUGUUCACCUUGGCCUCUAUUUCCUGAUUUUGUUGUGCGCGAAUUCAUAACUCCGAAAUGGGAGAACAUAGACUCUUACUCAAAAAAUGCAAUAAUAGAGGCCUGAGGUUCGGCAAUACUCUGAAAAGAUGAGGAGGCUAUAGACGCAGGGUAAACCUUAUUUUUAAAUAUUUCUAUUUAAUAAUCUGGGUGACAAAUAUCCAUUUUGUAUAGUAUAUAUGUAUGUAUGUAUAUAGCUUUUAACUCCAAAACAAAAAAUUUAUAGAGUUAGUUCUACCCAUCUUCCAAGAAAAAUAAAAUUUUUAGUAUUUGGAAAUCGCUGUAAUACUUCCUCGGUUUUUCUCAAUGAGGAUAUUUCAUAUAAAUACUUUUAUCCCAAGAUCUUUAAUAUUUCGCCACAAAUGCGAAUAGUAACGCUGAAAAGCGUAUAUUAACUUUGCCAGGAAGCUUGUAGUACCCAGAAAGGAACGUCCGAAAACGACGAGCUGAAUCUAUUUAACCAUGUUCUAGUCUCUCAGUUAUUGAGAUAUCGAUCUGAUAUUGUACGCACGUCCUUUCUUCUCUAAGUAGCUUCUCAUUUGUAGCAACCGAUAUCGGAGUUCUAUAGCAUAUACAUAUGUACAUAAGUACAAGUAUGUAGUUGUCACAAAAACUGAUCGUUCAGAAUCCACUUGUACGCCAACAUAUACAUUAAUAUGAUUGUAUGUAUGAAAUAUCCGCAGGAUGACUAAUAUAUGGUACAUAUGUGCAUGUGUAUAAACAGGAGUAGCAUCCAACUUCUACACAAAAAGCCCGAGCUAUCUAUGACUAAUGCCCUGACACAUCGCAUCAAGCUUCUACAAUAAGUAAACAAUACCAUAAUAAGUAAUUUGCUACUUCACAAUUUAGUAAUCAAGCAGUUACACAAUCGCAGUGCAAUGGCGUUAGUCCUAUUUGAUCCGCCAUACUCAAUGUUCGAAUGACGGACAAUGCUUUCCGGUCUGUCUUUCAUGGCCGCCCAUUGACGGAAGCUAAAAUGUCGCUCCUAUGAUAUCCGCCUUAAAAGAAUUUGAUGACUUAAGCCAUAUUAGAACCCAGUUUUCGUGCUCAUUU